UAUUGGCACAGCUGAGAUUACGUUAUGAAAAUAUAAAUAAAUUAACGUGAUUGGAUAUCUGUCUCGAGGUACUAUGAUGACUGUAUCCAGAGGUCUCGCCUAUUGCCAAACAAAUAUACAGGCCGCUUGAAAUAAGUUUGGCUGACUGGGAAGGUGUCUAAUAAUUUUGUCCAUGGCUGUACUUGCAAAGUGGCCGUUCCGUCAGUGUUGAAAUUAUUUUCGAAACAGAAACAGUAAUGUAGAAUGGCAAAAAGAUUGUUUUAAUUUUUGGAAAUGCGACGUUGUAAUUUAAUUUUGUUUUAAUAGCGCGGUGAUCGCGUUCAGUUUGAUAUGCGUUUGACGAUUUAUGUUAUUUUGUUUCCGCGGACGACCACGCAGCGGCGUGAGCAGCGCGAAGGGAGUCGAGAGCUGGCAACGAGCGAGUCAAGACGUGUUACGCGCAAGCCAGUUGUUACAUUACGUUCUUCUAUUUUAUUGUACCGUAUCUCAGUAAAUUCUUGUGUGGAUCAUCAA